GGAGGCGACAGCGGGAGUUUGCUCAGAUUAACAGCAGCAACACAGCAGGAACAAGGCCAGGGAGCCACACCAGAGCCGGUAGGAAGCUGCCUUGUACUGUGCCAGACUGGUAUUGGCCAAUCUAGCUUGGUAUUGCCUACACUGACUGCCACGGUUUCAGGCAGGGUGUCUCUCCCAACCCAACCUCUCAUACAAACCUGCCUGGCUGCUGCUGAGAUCCAUCAGUGGACACUUUCUCUUGGUCCCAUCGACCUCAGAAGCACGGUUGUCGGUGACCCGAGGGAGAGCCUUUUCUGUGGCUGCUCCUUGAUUGUGGGAUUCCUUCCCAAGAGAAGUCCUACUGCCUUGCUCUUUGUUAUCCUUCCGCCAGCAGCCUAAGACCUUCCUGUUCAGAGAGGCCUUUGGAAACUAAGAUGCUGAUCUCUCGGCCGCUGUCAGGGCAAACUGGAUUUUAAUUGCUAGUUCCAAAUGUUUUCUGAUGUAUUCUAAUUAUUGCGUGUGUGUUUUAACUCAUUGGUUUUUAUUGCUUUUAUAUUUUAUAAUGUUGUUUUUAAUUGUAAGCUGCCUUGAAUCUCAUCCUGGGAGAAAGGUGGGAUACAAAUACAUUAAAUAAGUGAUAUAUCUAUAUACCCUGGCCAUCUGACUGGGGUUCCUCCGCCACUCUGUGCAGCUUCCAACAGAAUAUAAAGACACACAAUACUUCAGGCAUUAAAAGCAUCCCGAUACAGUGGUACCUCUGGUUACAAACUUAAUUCGUUCCAGAGGUCCGUUCUUAACCUGAAACCAUUCUUAACAUGAGGUACCACUUUAGCUAAUGGGGCCUCCUGCUGCCGUCGCCACCGUGCGAUUUCUUUUCUCAUCCUGAGGUAAAGUUCUUAACCCAAGGUUCUCAUCCUGAAGUAAAGUUCUUAACGCAAGGUACUACUUCCGGGUUAGUGGAGUCUGUAACCCAAAGUGUUUGUAACCUGAGGUGUUUGUAACCCGAGGUACCACUGUACAGGGCUCCCUCCAGAUGUCUACAGAAGGUUGUAUAAUUGUUUCUCUCUUUGACAUCUGGCAUUUGGCUGCUGCUGCGUCAGAGCCCCUUGUGUGUAAUUCUCCACCCUUCUUGCCCAAAAGAGAUCCGAAGAGACGGCCGACUCGCUGGCCCAGAAAGCUCAGAUCACGGAAGAGGAAGCGAAGCUCCUGGCUCAGAAAGCCGCCGAGGCAGAGCAGGAGAUGCAGUGGAUCAAAGCCACAGCCAUCCGGACCGAGGAGGAGAAACGGCUGAUGGAGCAGAAGGUGCUGGAGGCAGAGAUGCUGGCGCUGAAGAUGGCGGAAGUGUCGGAGCGAAGGUCAGGCGGGGAGGGAAGCACACUCACCGGCUUGGGGGCUUUGCAGCAUUUCAUUCCUUGUUUUUGUUGACAUUGGGUUGUGCCCAGUGUAGUACAAAGUGAAAGGCUACUACUACUACUACUACUACUACUACUACUACUACAAAUAAUUUUAUUAUUUGUACCCCACCCAUCUGACUGGGUUGCCCCAGCCACUCUGGGCAGCUUCCAGCAUAUAUAAAAACACAACAAAACAUUAAACAUUUAAAAAACUUGCCUAUACAGGACUGCCUUCAGGUGUCUUCUAAAGGUUGUAUAGUUAUCUCCUUGAUAUCUGACAAGAGGGCACACCACAGGGAGGGAGCCACCACUGAGAAGCUCCUCUGCCUGGCUCCCUGUAACCUCGCAGUGAGGGAACCACCAGAAGGCCCUCAUAGAUAGAUAGAUAGAUAGAUAGAUAGAUAGAUGAUAGAUUAGAUAGAUAGAUACAUAGAUAGAUAGAUGAUAGAUAGAUAGAUAGAUAGAUGAUAGAUGAUAGAUAGAUAGAUAGAUAGAUAGAUAGAUAGAUAGAUAGAUGAUAGAUAGAUAGAUAGAUAGAUAGAUAGAUAGAUAGAUGAUAGAUAGAUAGAUAGAUAGAUAGAUAGAUGAUAGAGAUAGAUAGAUGAUAGAUAGAUGAUAGAUAGAUAGAUAGAUAGAUAGAUAGAUAGAUAGAUAGAGUCGUACCUUGGAAGUCAAAUGGAAUCCAUUCUGGAAGUCCAUUCAACUUCCAAAACGUUCGAAAACCAAAGCUCCUGCAGCCAAUCGGAAGCUGCGGAAGCCCUGUCGGACGUUCCAAAAAUAGUUCGGAAGCCAAAAUGUUCAAGAACUAAGCUGUUCAAAAAACAAGGUACGACUGUAGAUAGAUAGAUAGAUAUAGAUAUAGAUAGAUGAUAGAUAGAUGAUAGAUAGAUAGAUAGAUGAUAGAUGAUAGAUGAUAGAUGAUAGAUGAUAGAUGAUAGAUGACAGAUGAUAGAUGAUAGAUGAUAGAUGACAGAUGAUAGAUAGAUAGAUAGAUAGAUAGAUAGAUAGAUAGAUAGAUAUAGAUAUAUGAAGUAAAUCAAACAAAUUAAUACAAUAAUCAUAACAGAAGUAAUACAAUAAUCAUAACAGAAUCAAAACAGAACAGAAGUACAUAAACGCAGCACAGUAUAUCCGGGAGGGACUUAAUAGUAGGUUGGUGAAGUAUUUAUUACCAUCAGGAAAGCCAAUUUUGCAUGUUGCACUGUGCAAAGGGAGUUCUGUGCGCCUGUAAUCAUUGUAUAUACGAUAAAAUCCCACCAAACAGCGUAUAAUUUUUCAGGGCCCACCGAAACUUUAAUUUUAUGUAAUUCAACUGUAAUUUUAUGAGGAUUUGUUUCCAGCUAAUGCAAAACUCCUUAUACCAAUGCAAAAGUUGCAAACAAACAAACGAACAACUGGCCUGGCAGAGCUGGAUUUGCACGAUAUGCUUCCCCACACACGCACACCCCACCUGCUUGCUCCCCUUUUCUCCCUUGAAGCAGGCAGAGCUUUUCGACUGACACAGCUCGGCAUCCCUUAAGUACCAGAGCAUUUCGCGACAGGGAAUAUCCAGGGAUCAUAUUAUCUGGCAGCGAGACGCAGCUGCCUUUGGCGCACAAAGAGGGCAGGCAUCUGACAGGCAAAACAAGAUUACAUAAGUAUCCAGGGCAAGGAAGGAGGAGCAGGAGCGUUUGAGGAAGGGCUGGGAGAGAAGGAGAUAAUGAAGCAAAAGUGUGGGGGGGGGGUUGCCGGGGAAAGCACAGGAUGGAGAAAGAGAGAAACUCCUGGCGAGGGCUGUGUGGCAGUGGAGGCCGAAGUGGGAGCAGCAUUGAAGGGAGAUGUCACCUUUGUAGAAUAGGCUUGCUUCGACACCGACUUACAGACACCCUCUCUAUCACCCUUGUACCUACGGGACCGCCUCUCCCGGUAUGCCCCACGGAGAGCCUCAAGGUCCAUAAAUAGCAACACCCUAGUGGUCCCGGGCCCUAAGGAAGUUUGAUUAGCUUCAACCAGAGCCAGGGCCUUUUCAACACUGGCUCCGGCCUGGUGGAACGCUCUGCCUCAUGAGACCAGGGCCCUGCGGGAUCUGAUUUCUUUCCACAGGGCCUGUAAGACAGAGUUAUUCCACCUGGUCUUUGGCUUGGAGCCAGUUUGAUUCCCUCCCCCUUUCUUUUUUCUUUUUCCUUUCUCCUGUGAUGAGGCUGCAUUUUAGUAUUUUAAUGUUUCAAUAUUUUAAUUGUUGUAUUUUAAUCUUGUUUUUAGGUUUUUAGGUUGUAUUCAUUCAACUUGUUUUUAUUAUAGCUUGUUAGCCGCCCUGAGCCCGGCCUUGGCUGGGGAGGGCGGGGUAUAAAUAAAAAUUAUUAUUAUUAUUCUCACCCAGGCAAGCAAGAGGCAUUGGCACAAGUUCAUGGGCACAUAUGACUCCUAGGCCUAAGGUCCGCCACCUAUGAGAGCGUAAGAAGAGCCUGUCAGACCAAACCAAAGGCCCAUCCUACUCAUCAUCCUGCUCUCACCCUGGCCAACCAGAUGCCUGUGGGAUACCCCCAAGCAGGGACCAAGCACAAGAGCACUCUCCCUUCCUGUGGUUUUGCC
rnacentral:lncRNA from 1 species